UCGAAACCUGCCCAACAGAUCGACCCGCGAACGUGUUCAAAAAACGAGGGGCCUAGAGCCAGCUUUUGCCAGCAUUGGCCCCUCACUAGGUCUCGAUUGGGUGAUUAGGGAGCGCGGGCCUAGCCCCCCCUAUAUCCCUCGAUCUUGGCCGUCUAACAAACCCCCGGCGCGGAAAGCGCCAAGGAAGUACAAAACAAAAUUAACGGCCGCCCCGAUUGCCCCGGAAACGGUGUGCUAAGGGAUGUGUUGUGAUUUGAGAUUCUAAAUGACUCUCGGCAACGGAUAUCUCGGCUCUCGCAUCGAUGAAGAACGCAGCGAAAUGCGAUACUUGGUGUGAAUUGCAGGAUCCCGCGAACCAUCGAGUUUUUGAACGCAAGUUGCGCCCGAAGCCUUUUGGCCGAGGGCACGUCUGCCUGGGUGUCACUCAACCGUCGCCCCAACCCCUUCCUCUUUGGAAGGGCUGUAAGCUGGGCGGAAAAUGGCCUCCCGUUUGCUUCUCGCAUGUGGUUGGCCCAAAUGUCCGGUCCUCGGCAUCGUCGCCACGGCAAUCGGUGGUUGUACGACCCUCGCUUAAUGCUGUGAGCGUUUGGGUGCUGUUGCGACCUAUAAGGCCCCAAAGCGCAUCGAAAGACAUGCUCGCAAUGCGACC
rnacentral:rRNA from 1 species